rnacentral:rRNA from 1 species
CCUACGGGAGGCAGCAGUGAGGAAUAUUGGUCAAUGGGCGCGAGCCUGAACCAGCCAAGUAGCGUGAAGGAUGACUGCCCUACGGGUUGUAAACUUCUUUUAUAAAGGAAUAAAGUUAGGCACGUGAGCCUUUUUGUAUGUACUUUAUGAUUAAGGAUAGGCUCACUCCGUGCCAUCAGCCGCGGUAAUGCGGAGGAUCCGAGCGUUAUCCGGAUUUAUUGGGUUUAAAGGGAGCGUAGAUGGGUUGUUAAGUCAGUUGUGAAAGUUUGCGGCUCAACCGUACAAUUGCAAUUGAUACUGGCAGUCGUGAGUACAGGUGAGGUAGGCGGAAUUCGUGGUGUAGCGGUGAAAUGCUGAGAUAUCACGAAGAACUCCGAUUGCGAAGGCAGCUUACUAAACUGCCACUGACAUUGAUGCUCGAAAGUGUGGGUAUCAAACAGGAUUAGAUACCCUUGUAGUC